UACGUAGGUGGCAAGCGUUGUCCGGAUUUAUUGGGUUUAAAGGGUGCGUAGGCGGCCCCAUAAGUCAGUGCUGAAAUACUCUAGCUCAACUAGAGGGGUGGCAUUGAUACUGCGGGGCUUGAGUGGAGUCGAGGUAGGCGGAAUUGACGGUGUAGCGGUGAAAUGCAUAGAUAUGUCACAGAACACCGAUUGCGAAGGCAGCUUACUAUGGUCUGAUUGACGCUGAGGCACGAAAGCGUGGGGGAUCAAACAGG
rnacentral:rRNA from 1 species